GAGCUGUGGUGCAAAAUGGCUCAGCUAUACAGCCUACUGCACAUGGGGAGAUACAUACUACUUUGUGGCAUCGUUGUGGCACCAGAUGUGUUGGAAGAUACAAUUGGGCCUGUGGAGGAAGAUACAAACAUUGUAAAGGAAGAAAGUGAAAAUGUGACUUUGAUAUGUUCAUAUAAGUCAGAGAGCACUUUCAUUUCUCUGUACUGGUACAGACAGGACUCUAACAGUGCACCACAAUAUUUACUGCACCAAGGCAAGGGUGAGAAGAGCACUCCUGCUGACCAACGGCUUGAGGCAACAUCAACAGAUAGCUCUACUGAACUUACUAUCAGCAGAUUACUGCUCACAGAUACAGCUCUGUACCACUGUGCUCUCAAAGCCGUUAACCCAGUGUUACAAAGUCUCACACAAGCUGUACAAAAACUUUGUCAACGAUAA